rnacentral:rRNA from 1 species
UACGGAGGGUGCGAGCGUUGUCCGGAAUCACUGGGCGUAAAGGGCGCGUAGGCGGCGCGAGCAGUCGGCGGUGAAAGCCCGGAGCUCAACUCCGGGUCGGCCGUCGAUACUCUCGUGCUUGAGCACUGUAGAGGCAGGUGGAAUUCCGGGUGUAGCGGUGGAAAUGCGUAGAGAUCCGGAAGAACACCGGUGGCGAAGGGCGGCCUGCUGGG